rnacentral:rRNA from 1 species
CAGCAGCCGCGGUAACACGGAGGGCGCGAGCGUUACCCGGAUUUACUGGGCGUAAAGGGCGUGUAGGCGGCCUGGGGCGUCCCAUGUGAAAGGCCACGGCUCAACCGUGGAGGAGCGUGGGAUACGCUCAGGCUAGAGGGUGGGAGAGGGUGGUGGAAUUCCCGGAGUAGCGGUGAAAUGCGCGGAUACCGGGAGGAACGCCGAUGGCGAAGGCAGCCACCUGGUCCACUUCUGACGCUGAGGCGCGAAAGCGUGGGGAGCAAACCGGAUUAGAUACCCCGUAGUCCCUGUCUCUUAUACA